AACGAACGCUGGCGGCGUGCCUAACACAUGCAAGUCGAGCGCGAAAGGAGCAAUCCGAGUAGAGCGGCGCACGGGUGCGUAACACGUGGAUAAUCUGCCUCAGGGUUGAGGAUAACCUUCCGAAAGGUUGGCUAAUACUCGGUAAGCUUACGGUGACUUCGGUCGCUGUGAGAAAACGAGACCUCUAUUUAUAAGUUUAGGCCCAGAGAUGAGUCCGCGGCCCAUCAGCUAGUUGGCGGGGUAACGGCCCACCAAGGCUACGACGGGUAGCUGGUCUGAGAGGACGAUCAGCCACACUGGAACUGAGACACGGUCCAGACUCCUACGGGAGGCAGCAGUGGGGAAUUUUCCACAAUGGGCGAAAGCCUGAUGGAGCAACACCGCGUGUGUGAUGAAGGUCUUCGGAUCGUAAAGCACUUUCGACUGGGACGAAAAACCUUUGGCUAACAUCCAGGGGCCUGACGGUACCAGGAGAAGAAGCACCGGCUAACUCUGUGCCAGCCGCCGCUGUAACAC
rnacentral:rRNA from 1 species